ACUAACUUGGCAGACAAGUGCAUUGGAUUUAAGCUCCACAUAUAUAAAUCAAUUAUUUAUAUUUAGUA
rnacentral:tRNA from 1 species